AAUCAACGCUGGCGGCGUGCUUAACACAUGCAAGUCGAGCGGUAAGGCCCUUUCGGGGGUACACGAGCGGCGAACGGGUGAGUAACACGUGGGUGACCUGCCCUCAGCUCUGGGAUAAGCCUGGGAAACCGGGUCUAAUACUGGAUAUGACUCCAUGACGCAUGUUGUGGGGUGGAAAGCCUUGUGCGGCUGAGGAUGGGCCCGCGGCCUAUCAGCUUGUUGGUGGGGGAUGGCCUACCAAGGCGACGACGGGUAGCCGGCCUGAGAGGGCGACCGGCCACACUGGGACUGAGACACGGCCCAGACUCCUACGGGAGGCAGCAGUGGGGAAUCUUGCGCAAUGGGCGAAAGCCUGACGCAGCGACGCCGCGUGAGGGAUGACGGCCUGG
rnacentral:rRNA from 1 species